rnacentral:lncRNA from 1 species
GGGAGAGGAUGUAGUAGUUUCCCCUGUCUACUUUCUCUACCUUCUUUUCUCCUCUACCCUCCCUUUCCAAGCUCAACUUCCUUGACAGUAUUAAGGAAAUACCUUUUUUAGUUACCAAAAUAAGUUGCUCUGUGGAGAAUUUCUGAUGAUCUCAUGGUGAUUAUCCUGCACCCGGAAGACACUUUGCUUUGCUUUGGGACCAUGGAUAUUCCUUGGGGCAGCCACCAAGGAUGAAUAAGGUUUGAACGGGGAGGCACUGGCCUCGGGGCUCCUUGCUGCUGACAUCAGUUGUGCCCUCGUAGGAGACGUCCUGGUCCUGCCUGCCUCAGAGGCUUCCAUCUGCGGAUUUCCUGAGGUCGUCUCCUUACUGCUCUGCUGCAGUCUCUCUCAACAUUGCAACUGUCUGCUCCAGAAAGUUACUCUGUCACUAAGUAAAAUAAAUACAAACAAAAUAA